GAUGAAGAACGUAGCGAACUGCGAUAAGUAAUGUGAAUUGCAGAAUUCAGUGAAUCAUCGAGUCUUUGAACGCACAUUGCGCCCCCUGGCAUUCCGGGGGGCAUGCCUGUCCGAGCGUCAUUGCUGCCCUUCAAGCCCGGCUUGUGUGUUGGGUCGUCGUCCCCCCCGGGGGACGGGCCCGAAAGGCAGCGGCGGCACCGCGUCCGGUCCUCGAGCGUAUGGGGCUUUGUCACCCGCUCGAUUAGGGCCGGUCGGGCGCCAGCCGGCGUCUCCAACCUUCUAUUUUACCAGGUUGACCUCGGAUCAGGUAGGGAUACCCGCUGAACUUAAGCAUAUCAAUAAGCGGAGGA
rnacentral:misc_RNA from 1 species